rnacentral:piRNA from 1 species
UAGCUGCUGAUGUGACCCUCUUUC